rnacentral:rRNA from 1 species
CGAACCGUGCGAACGUUGUUCGGAAUCACUGGGCUUAAAGGGCGCGUAGGCGGGCCGCCAAGUCCGAGGUGAAAUCUUUCGGCUCAACCGGAAAAUAGCCUUGGAUACUGACGGUCUGGAGGGAGGUAGGGGUCUGUGGAACUUCCGGUGGAGCGGUGAAAUGCGUAGAUAUCGGAAGGAACGCCGGUGGCGAAAGCGACGGACUGGACCUCUUCUGACGCUGAGGCGCGAAAGCCAGGGGAGCAAACGGGAUUAGAUACCCCGGUAGUCCUGGCCCUAAACGAUGGGUACUAGGUUGUGGACUGGACAUGGGUUCACAGCCGAAGCUAAAGUGUUAAGUACCCCGCCUGGGGAGUAUGGUCGCAAGGCUG